ensembl:lncRNA
AAAACUCCUGAUCCGGAUGUCUUCCCUAUAGAAUUUAAAACGUUCUCCACUCAUCUAUCCCGCUUAUUAUUAGAACUAUACAAUCAUUCCUUAGAACAGGGCUUCUUACCAGCAUCCUUAAACCAAGAACUAAUUAAUGUCUUUAACUCCUUAACAUUAAAGAAAGACAAGGACCCUAAAUUUUGUGGCAGGUACAGACCUAAUUAAUAACCAUGUCAAAUUAUUAGCUAAAGUAUUGGCUAAACGCUUAGAGGUUCGUCUUUCAGCCCUUAUAUCAGAUGAUCGAACUGGCUUUACACUGGGUCAUCAGUUGUCAUCCAAUAUACGCAGACUUUUAAAUAUGAUCUUCACUCCAUCUAGCUCUCCAAUGCCAGAAAUGGUUCUCUUACUAGACAGAAGGCUUUUGAUCGGGUGGAACGGGAUUAUUUAUUUACAGUUUUACAAAAAUUUGGUUUCAGCCCCAAACGAAUUUCACGGAUACGUCUACUAUAAUUCCUCCUCAGCUUGAAAACAAAUUCGGAACCAUCUCCCCAUUUCUCUUGUCUCGUUUCACCAGUCAGGGCUGCCCACUCUCACCCCUUCUCUUUGCUUUGGCUAUACCCAAAGCAAUAGCCUUGAAAUCGACUUCAGUAUGUUCAGGUAUUCAUAGCAUCGGAAGGGAACACCGGGUUCGACACCACAGACACCAGUCAAGCCAUUUUGCAAUAUGUAUGUUUUUUAUAUGAAGUCUGUGUGUUGAACUAUUCCACUGUUCACUAAAGGAGACCUGAGUGUAAAACUGCAUGUGGUAAUUGCAGUCUCAAGGCCAUCGCUGCAACCGUAGUCCCAGCAACCACAGCGAGAACGUCCAUGUGGAAAUGAGGUCCAAAACCAUUUCCAUGGUACUUCAAGUGGUACAAAGCAAAGAGUAAGGGAGAUAAAGCACAACCCUGUCUGGUACCUCGAUAUAGGUGAAACGGUGAAGAGAGCAUCUUAUUCGUAAGAAUUCUCACACAGGGCUUACGGUAAAGAAUUUUUGUCACUUUUCAAAACUAUCACCAAUAUCACAUUUUCUCAAAACUGGGAACAAAUAAGGCCACUCUAAUGGGUCAAAAACCUUCUCUGCAUCAAGAGAAACAAUAACCAAAUCAUCUGUAGUGUGGGAGUAGAUUAUUUUAAAAAGACGUCUAAGAUUUGGAACGGAGUGCCUAUUUGUAUAAAUCCCGUCUGAUCAGGGUGAGUAAGUUUAUCAGUUACAGAUCUAAGCCUGAUGGGGAAAACUUUAGCCAAAAUGAUUUUGUCAGAGGUGAAAUUGGCCUAUAUCUACUUACUUACUUCCUGAUCUUCACCCUUUUAAGUGAUACUGUACUUCAAAAGUAGCCUCAUUUAAGGUAUGAUGCAAUAUGCCAGCAGUAUUUGAAUGAGUAUACAUUUUAAAUAAAUAAGGUGAGAAUAGAUCACUGAAUUCUUUGUAAAAUUCACUAGGGUACUCAUCAGAGCCAAUUGUAUCUUGUAUUUCUGAGACUGAAAGUUCAGCGUUGAGGAAGUCACGAUCUUUCUAAACUAGAGUAGGAAUAUCACAACUAUACAAGAAGUUUUUUUGCAGCCAGGUCGUCGAUUAAGGCCUUGGAGCUAUUAUUAUACUUUGAACACUUUAAUUACAGAAGCUGGUCCUACAUCUUAUAUCAUAGGUUACACAGAUAUAUCACGAUUCAUUAUGUAGUACUGAAUGAAAACAGAGGUUUAACAUGAACCCCUUUAUCAUUUGUUUGAUUGUGAAUGUGUACCUUUAUUAAAUUUUGUGAUUUCUAUACAGAUAUCUCUGUUUAGAAACGGUUAUAGAUGAAGGAUGAUCUUGUUCUAGGAAAAGAAGAUUGAGGAAAAGAAGCGUGUGCUGUGAAAGAAUGCAUCAUUAUCUAAGACAGAGAUCAAAUUAUUUUAUACCAUUGAUUUUAUUUUUUGACCUUGAUUAAGAGCCAAGAUCUUGAUAGAGUAUGUUUUUUAAAGUGAAGCAGGCAGAAACACAAACAUGUUUUUUGUUUACUCAAACCAAAGUCCAAAAGAUUUCCCAUGUGUUCUGUGCUCAUGUGUUCAUGUGUUCACAGCAUUUAAUGCCAUAACGUGGAAUGAACCUUUUUUUAAAUAUCAAAUAUGUUAUUUUCAAGCUUUUAAAAUGCUGUAAGCUUUUUCUACAUGCCCAGUAUUCAUGUGCAUUUUCUGUAAAAUAUAGCAGACACGUGUUCACAUUUGUUUAUUAUUCUUCAUCACUAAGAAAUGAGUGUCCACAUAAGCACUGUACCUUGUCUACUUUGGCAUAUCUAUCUAUCUAUCUAUCUAUCUAUCUAUCUAUCUAU